UAGGCUAAGAAUGGUAACGAACAUAGGUCUCAGUGGGCUACCACAAGUAUGGUCGAGAGAUUGUACACUGCACGUGGUAGAAAUGUAACAAAGGCUCGCUAACCCGUCCAACCCCCCCCCCCCAUUGAUUCGUUCCCUAACGGGGGCCAUACGCGCUGUGAUGGACCCUCGCACGGGUUCGGUGGGACAUUAUAGGCAUAAGAAG